UUUUUUUUUUUUUUGGCUUUUUAGGGCCGCACGCAUGGCAUAUGGAGGUUCUGUGGCUAGGGGUCCAAUCGGAGCUAUAGCUGCCAGCCUACACUACAGCCACAGCAAUGAGGGAUCCGAGCCGCAUCUGCAACCUACACCACAGCUCACGGCAAUGCUAGAUCCUUAACCCACUGAGAAAGCCAGGGAAAAAUUUUUUUUUCCAAACUUUCUCCCUUAGCUGACCACAGUUUUCAUUCAACUGUGGACGAUUACGAGAGAAAUCCAGGAAAGAAAUUUAUUUAUUGCUCUACAACUUUCAUUAAACUACUUAUUAUACUCAGUACCAGCUAACUCUUCGAAAUAAUUUCUCAAAGUUCUUCCAACCUUAUUCCAUUCUAGUCCUAAAACGUUUAUUGAACCAUUGAAUUUUAUUGACUAAAAAUUCCUUUGAGGUACUUGCUAACAUUAUUAUCAUUAGGUAUUAGGAGGAUUAUUGCAAGUUCAUCUUGGUGAGGAUUUGCCAGAUGUAAGCUAUUAUUUUCUCCCAACCUUGUGAAAUCUUUGCUUCAGAACAAAAUCCUUAUAGGCAAUGGGAUCUGCAUUAGGCAGGUACACCUUCUGUAUUGGUGAUAAAAUAAAAGUACACACAUUUCUAAAAAUGUCAUUCAACUUAACAUGGCAGAUGCAAAACAGACGAAUGUUAUUCUUCUAAGAGAGUGACUGCUAAUCUUGAGAGAUGAACUGAAGCAUGUGAUCCAAGGUAUUUUUGCAUUGACUAUUGUUUUCUUCCCCACACAUUUCAGAAAAAAAUAAAACAGCUUUUAACAUAUAUUACUGAUAAUGAUUGUUUUCAGCACUGUAGUUUGUAACGACAUUUGGAAUUGAUCAACUUUUUUAUUUUUUUUUAUUUAUUUAUUUUUGGGGUUUUUUUUUGUUUGUCUUUUUGCCUUUUCUAGGGCUGCACCCGCGGCAUAUGGAGGUUCCCAGAAAAUUAAAAAACAGAACUACCAUAUCAUCAAGCAAUUCCAUUUCUGGGAAUAUAUCCAAAGGAAACAAAAGCACUAACUCUAAAAGAUAUCUGUGCCCUUUUGUUCACUGCAGCAUUAUUUUCCAUAGCCAAGACAUAGAAACAACCUAAAUAUCCAUCAGUGGAUGAAUGAAUAAAGACAUUGUGGUAUAAACAUAUACAAUGGAGUAUUAUUUAACCAUAAAUAAUGAGAAUUCGUGACAACAUGGAUGGACCUUGGAGGCAUUAUGCUAAGGGAAAUAAGUCAGAGAACAAUAAAUACUGUAUGACCUCACUAAUAUGUGGAGUUAAAAAAAAUAAAGCUCAUAGAGAAAAGAUAAGCUUUCUGGAUACCAGAUGUGGAGAUGGUGGUGAGGGGGGAAUGGGAGGAAGGUAGUCAAAAGGUACAAACUUCCAGUUAUAAGAUAAGUAAGUACUAGGGAUGGAAUGACAACAUGCUGAAGACCGCUAACACUGCCAUAUGCUAUACAGGAGAAUUGCGAAGAAAGCAAAUUACAACAGCUCUUAUCACAAGGAGAAUUUUUUUCUUUCUUAUUUUCUUUUUAUUGUAUCUAUAUGAGAAGAAGGAUGUUAGCUGACACUUUUGGGAUAAUCAUUUCAUAAUAUAUGUAAAGCAAAUCACGCUGUACACCUUAAGCUCACACACGAUGCAUGUCAAUUAUUUCUCAAUAAAACUGGAAAGAAGAUAUUUAAAAGCAAUUAAAUAGGAAACCACAUAGUUAACAUAUCAUCCGUACAUUUUUCAGGACCAAGACUUAGAGAAUUAUCAUUGGGGUCAUUAAAACAGGUGCGACUAAAAUGUUUCACAACUGGAAGAAUCAUUAUUUUAAA
rnacentral:lncRNA from 1 species